rnacentral:lncRNA from 1 species
UUGUAGAAUUAGGUGUAAUGUCAUGAGAUAAUACAAUAAUGUUCUUAAGCAACGAUGAUCCAUAGCCCUAACUAAGGAGCCAAGAUCUCACCAGAGCUCUUAGUACAUAAGAGCGAUGAUUCAUGAUUAUUCCAAGAAGUAAGACUUUGAAGAUCAGAAUAGAUCCCAUGAAAAUAUGAUGGAUCCACUGACUAAAUGAUUUAGCCAGCCAGGACUAAGACACAUCUUGAGAAGAUAGGGCUUAAAUUUAUGAUGGAUUGACUUUAAUGCAAGUG